UGGAACCUUCAUCUCUCCUGACAAUGGGGCAACUAUCGUAGGAUGAUAUGAGAGGAGCAGGUCAUGACUAUGCCUGGCACUGAACCUAGGACUCAGAGCAGGUUGUGAAUGUCACUCACUGUCCUUCCUUAUUUCUUGAGCCUGCAGAUGUUAAGGAUGCAGCAAGACUGGAGCAAAGGGCUGGAAGAAGAAUAAGGACUGGAGUAAGAGAGCCAUGAG
rnacentral:lncRNA from 1 species